GGGCACGACACCGGAGAGGGAGCCUGAGAAACGGCUACCACAUCCAAGGAUGGCAGCAGGCGCGCAAAUUACCCAAUCCCGACACGGGGAGGUAGUGACAAUAAAUAACAAUACGGGGUUCUUUCGGAUCUCGUAAUUGGAAUGAGUACAAUUUAAAUCUCUUAACGAGGAACAAUUGGAGGGCAAGUCUGGUGCCAGCAGCCGCGGUAAUUCCAGCUCCAAUAGCGUAUAUUAAAGUUGUUGCAGUUAAAAAGCUCGUAGUUGAAUUUCGGGGUUAGUAGGUUGGUCAUGCCUCUGGUAUGUACUGGUCUCACUGAUUCCUCCUUCCUGAUGAACCGUAAUGCCAUUAAUUUGGUGUUGCGGGGAAUUUGGACUGUUACUUUGAAAAAAUUAGAGUGUUUAAAGCAAGCUAACGCUUGAAUACAUUAGCAUGGAAUAAUGAAAUAGGACGUUCGAUCCUAUUUUGUUGGUUUCUAGGAUUGACGUAAUGAUUAAUAGGGAUAGUUGGGGGCAUUAGUAUUCAAUUGUCAGAGGUGAAAUUCUUGGAUUUAUUGAAGACUAACUACUGCGAAAGCAUUUGCCAAGGAUGUUUUCAUUAAUCAAGAACGAAAGUUAGGGGAUCGAAGACGAUCAGAUACCGUCGUAGUCUUAACCAUAAACUAUGCCGACUAGGG
rnacentral:rRNA from 1 species